rnacentral:rRNA from 1 species
GACAGAGGGUGCAAACGUUGUUCGGAAUUACUGGGCGUAAAGCGAGUGUAGGCGGUGUGGUAAGUCGGAUGUGAAAGCCCCGGGCUCAACCCGGGAAGUGCACUCGAUACUGCCACGCUAGAGUAUCGGAGAGGUUGGUGGAAUUCUCGGUGUAGAGGUGAAAUUCGUAGAUAUCGAGAGGAACACCUGUGGCGAAGGCGGCCAACUGGACGAGUACUGACGCUGAGACACGAAAGCGUGGGGAGCAAACAGG